rnacentral:rRNA from 1 species
GACGAACGCUGGCGGCGUGCUUAACACAUGCAAGUCGAACGGCAAGGCCCUGCGUUUUUGCUGUGCUCGAGUGCCGAACGGGUGAGUAACACGUGUGUAACCUGCCCUUGAUUUUGGGAUAACUUCAGGAAACUGGGGCUAAUAUCAUACAGGAGCUCCUGUUCCGUGGUGGGGGUUGGAACGUUUCGGCUGUUGGGGUUGGAUUCGCGGCUUAUGAGCUUGUUGGUGGGCUAGGGGAUUACCAAGGCUUUGACGGGUAGGCGGCCCGAGAGGGGGACCGGCCACCAUGCGCCUGAGAGACGGAGCAGACUCCUACGGGAGGCAGCAGGGGGGAAUAUUGCACAAUGAGAGGAAGCCUGAUGCAAAAACGCCGCGUGCGGAAUGACGGCCUUCGGGUUGUAAACCGCAUUAGCCUGUGACGAAGCGUGAGUGACGGUAAUGGAUAAAGAAGCACCGGCUAACUACGUG